rfam:Salmo salar isolate Sally breed double haploid chromosome ssa08, whole genome shotgun sequence.
UGCGAGCAUAACUGUAUGUCGCUUUGGAUAAAAGCGUCUGCUAAAUGGCUUAUA